AUUGAACGCUGGCGGCAGGCCUAACACAUGCAAGUCGAGCGGAAGAAGGUAGUUUGCUCCUGGAUUCAGCGGCGGACGGGUGAGUAAUGCCUAGGAAUCUGCCUGGUAGUGGGGGAUAACGUCCGGAAACGGGCGCUAAUACCGCAUACGUUCUGAGGGAGAAAGUGGGGGAGCUUCGGACCUCACGCUAUCAGAUGAGCCUAGGUCGGAUUUGCUAGUUGGUGGGGUAAAGGCCUACCAAGGCGACGGUCCGUAACUGGUCUGAGAGGGAGAUGAGUGACGCUGGAAAUGGGACACGGUCCCGACCCAGACGGGAGGCGGCAGUGGGGGAUAUUGGAAAAUGGGGGUAGGCCUGAUCCAGACAUGCCGCGUGUGUGAAGAAGAUCUUCGGAUUGUAAAGCAAUUUAAGUUGGGAGGAAGAGCAGUAAGUUAAUACCUUGCUGUUUUGACGUUACCAGCAGAAUAAGCACCGGCUAACUUCGUG
rnacentral:rRNA from 1 species